GUUCCAAGUGCGUUCCAUCUCUCUAUCUUAACCACAUCAACAAGGAGCAACAAUACAAGUGAUCCCACAAACGGCUAUGUAGCCAAAAAAUAACAAAUUAACUUAAUACAGUUAAUCUCUAAAUUAAAAAAGAGAAAUGGGUUAGUAUCUUAAAUAUAAACAACAAGAGUAUCAAAAUAGCCACUGCAAAAUUUAGGCAUAUAUUUUAUAAGUGUA